UCCUAGUUGAGAACUCAACUAUAGAACUGAUAAUUGUUCAUCUUGUCUAACAUCUCUAAUUUGGGCUAAUUAUCUUCAUUGAGAGCUACGACCUCCAGGUGUGUAAAAGCUGUCUUUGAUAUAUUCCAAAAAUUGAGCUUCUAUUUAUCACGGUAACAUUUGCAGGGCAUCAUAUUCUCUGUGAGUUGUUAUCGUAAUCAAUUUAUUGUUGAGCUGAUACUGUCAUGACUAAUGGUUUCAACACCGCCCUGUAUCAGUUAGGUGUCAGGUUCUAGUCCCACCAGAGUCUUUUUCCCCUUUUAGCUUCCAUUCCUCACUAUUCAUGGGCCCAUCCGCACCAAUUAAAAACAGACAAUAGCUUCACCAACUACUAAGAAUUAUUGACCUUUGCACUAAUAAUAUAACCUUUGGCCUUAUGUUUAAAGCUCAAAAAAAAAGGAAAAGAAAAUCGUAGGCUUUAUGAUUCAACUAAUUGCUAAAUAGUCAUACUACCUUUGGCCUUAUGUUUAAAGCUCAAAAAAAAAAAGGAAAAGAAAAUCGUAGGCUUUAUGAUUCAACUAAUUGCUAAAUAGUCUUUUUACACUAAUCCAGAUUUGUAUGCAUCCUCCGUAUAUAAUAUGCAG
rnacentral:lncRNA from 1 species